rnacentral:rRNA from 1 species
GAUGAACGCUGGUGGCGUGCUUAACACAUGCAAGUCGAACGAAGCGCUUGAGAUUGAUUCUUCGGAAGAUUUCUCUUGUGACUUAGUGGCGGACGGGUGAGUAACGCGUGGGUAACCUGCCUCACACAGGGGGAUAACAGUUGGAAACGACCGCUAAUACCGCAUAACCCGCUAGGGCCGCAUGGCCCGGACGGAAAAGAUUUAUCGGUGUGAGAUGGACCCGCGUUGGAUUAGCUAGUUGGCAGGGUAACGGCCUACCAAGGCGACGAUCCAUAGCCGGCCUGAGAGGGUGAACGGCCACAUUGGGACUGAGACACGGCCCAAACUCCUACGGGAGGCAGCAGUGGGGAAUAUUGCACAAUGGGGGAAACCCUGAUGCAGCGACGCUGCGUGAGUGAAGAAGUAUUUCGGUAUGUAAAGCUCUAUCAGCAGGGAAGAAAAUGACGGUACCUGACUAAGAAGCCCCGGCUAACUACGUGCCAGCAGCCGCGGUAA